rnacentral:rRNA from 1 species
GACGAACGCUGGCGGCGUGCCUAAUACAUGCAAGUAGAACGCUGAAGAGAGGAGCUUGCUCUUCUUGGAUGAGUUGCGAACGGGUGAGUAACGCGUAGGGAACCUGCCUUGUAGCGGGGGAUAAAUAUUGGAAACGAUAGCUAAUACCGCAUAACAAUGGAUGACCCAUGUCCUUUAUUUGAAAGGGGCAAAUGCUCCACUACAAGAUGGACCUGCGUUGUAUUAGCUAGUAGGUGAGGUAACGGCUCACCUAGGCGACGAUACAUAGCCGACCUGAGAGGGUGAUCGGCCACACUGGGACUGAGACACGGCCCAGACUCCUACGGGAGGCAGCAGUAGGGAAUCUUCGGCAAUGGGGGCAACCCUGACCGAGCAACGCCGCGUGAGUGAAGAAGGUUUUCGGAUCGUAAAGCUCUGUUGUAAGUCAAGAACGAGUGUGAGAGUGGAAAGUUCACACUGUGACGGUAGCUUACCAGAAAGGGACGGCUAACUACGUG